GUGCUGCUUCGGCAGCGCGAAUACUACAUUUGGAAUGCUACAGAGAAGAAUAGCAUGGCCCCGUGUGCAAGAGUGACACACAAAUUUGUGAAGAGCGCCCUUAGAAA
ensembl:snRNA U6 U6 spliceosomal RNA